AUUGAACGCUGGCGGCAUGCCUUACACAUGCAAGUCGAACGGCAGCACGGGUGCUUGCACCUGGUGGCGAGUGGCGAACGGGUGAGUAAUACAUCGGAACAUGACCUGUAGUGGGGGAUAGCCCGGCGAAAGCCGGAUUAAUACCGCAUACGAUCCACGGAUGAAAGCGGGGGACCUUCGGGCCUCGCGCUGUUGGGUUGGCCGAUGGCUGAUUAGCUAGUUGGUGGGGUAAAGGCCUACCAAGGCGACGAUCAGUAGCUGGUCUGAGAGGACGACAAGCCACACUGGGACUGAGACACGGCCCAGACUCCUACGGGAGGCAGCAGUGGGGAAUUUUGGACAAUGGGCGAAAGCCUGAUCCAGCAAUGCCGCGUGUGUGAAGAAGGCCUUCGGGUUGUAAAGCACUUUUGUCCGGAAAGAAAUCCUUGGCCCUAAUACGGUCGGGGGAUGACGGUACCGGAAGAAUAAGCACCGGCUAACUACGUG
rnacentral:rRNA from 1 species